GACGAACGCUGGCGGCGUGCUUAACACAUGCAAGUCGAGCGGUAAGGCCCUUUCGGGGGUACACGAGCGGCGAACGGGUGAGUAACACGUGGGUGACCUGCCCUCAGCUCUGGGAUAAGCCUGGGAAACCGGGUCUAAUACUGGAUAUGACUCCAUGACGCAUGUUGUGGGGUGGAAAGCCUUGUGCGGCUGAGGAUGGGCCCGCGGCCUAUCAGCUUGUUGGUGGGGUGAUGGCCUACCAAGGCGACGACGGGUAGCCGGCCUGAGAGGGCGACCGGCCACACUGGGACUGAGACACGGCCCAGACUCCUACGGGAGGCAGCAGUGGGGAAUCUUGCGCAAUGGGCGAAAGCCUGACGCAGCGACGCCGCGUGAGGGA
rnacentral:rRNA from 1 species